rnacentral:rRNA from 1 species
AUUGAACGCUGGCGGUAUGCUUAACACAUGCAAGUCGAACGAUGAGAAAGAGCUUGCUCUUUCGAUUAGUGGCGGACGGGUGCGUAACGCGUAGGAAUCUACCUAUUAGUGGGGGACAACUUAGGGAAACUUAAGCUAAUACCGCAUACGCCCUACGGGGAAAGAAGGGGAUCGCAAGACCUUUUGCUAAUAGAUGAGCCUGCGUAGGAUUAGCUAGUUGGUGGGGUAAAAGCUCACCAAGGCGACGAUCCUUAACUGGUUUGAGAGAAUGAUCAGUCACACUGGAACUGAGACACGGUCCAGACUCCUACGGGAGGCAGCAGUGGGGAAUAUUGGACAAUGGGCGAAAGCCUGAUCCAGCAAUACCGCGUGUGUGAAGAAGGCCUUAGGGUUGUAAAGCACUUUCAAUUGGAAGGAAAACCUCGAAGCUAAUACCUUCGAGUUUGACAUUACCUUUAGAAGAAGCACCGGCUAACUCCGUGCCAGCAGCAGCCGCCG